rnacentral:rRNA from 1 species
CCUACGGGAGGCAGCAGUGAGGAAUAUUGGUCAAUGGGCGCGAGCCUGAACCAGCCAAGUCGCGUGAGGGAAGACGGUCCUAUGGAUUGUAAACCUCUUUUGUCGGGGAGCAAAAGAGGCCACGCGUGGCGUUCCGAGAGUACCCGAAGAAAAAGCAUCGGCUAACGCCGUGCCAGCAGCCGCGGUAAGACGGAGGAUGCGAGCGUUAUCCGGAUGUAUUGGGUUGAAAGGGUGCGCAGGCGGAAGAUCAAGUCAGCGGUAAAAUUGAGAGGCUCAACCUCUUCGAGCCGUUGAAACUGGUUUUCUUGAGUGAGCGAGAAGUAUGCGGAAUGCGUGGUGUAGCGGUGAAAUGCAUAGAUAUCACGCAGAACUCCGAUUGCGAAGGCAGCAUACCGGCGCUCAACUGACGCUCAUGCACGAAAGUGUGGGUAUCGAACAGGAUUAGAUACCCUGGUAGUC